rnacentral:rRNA from 1 species
UACGUAGGUGGCAAGCGUUGUCCGGAAUUAUUGGGCGUAAAGCGCGCGCAGGUGGUUUAAUAAGUCUGAUGUGAAAGCCCACGGCUCAACCGUGGAGGGUCAUUGGAAACUGUUAAACUUGAGUGCAGGAGAGAAAAGUGGAAUUCCUAGUGUAGCGGUGAAAUGCGUAGAGAUUAGGAGGAACACCAGUGGCGAAGGCGGCUUUUUGGCCUGUAACUGACACUGAGGCGCGAAAGCGUGGGGAGCAAACAGGAUUAGAUACCCUGGUAGUCCACGCCGUAAACGAUGAGUGCUAAGUGUUGGUCUCAUAAGAGAUCAGUGCUGCAGCUAACGCAUUAAGCACUCCGCCUGGGGAGUACGACCGCAAGGUUGAA